AAAAGAUUAUCAUUCAGCAGCUAAAUACCCCUGGAAAUGAUGAACUUCCGCCAAAUCUAUCAAGAGCCCAUGACUCCAUCUCCAACUCAGCUCUCCUCAGACAUUGUCUUGAGACAAACUCAACCUUAAUUGUCAAUCAGAAAAUGUUUAAAUUCACCUAUAGCCUGAAAGCCCCCAACUCCACUUUGAGUUGUUCCACCUUUCUGGACCAAACCAAUGUAUUUCUUAAAUGUAUGUGAUUGAUGUCUCAUGCCUCUCUAAAAUGUAUAAAACGAAGCUACGCCCUGACCACCCUGGACACAUGUUCUCAGGACUUCCUGAGGGCUGUGUCAUGGGCCAUGGUCACUCAUAUUUGGCUCAGAAUAAAUCUCUUCAAAUAUU
rnacentral:lncRNA from 10 species